rnacentral:rRNA from 1 species
CCUACGGGAGGCAGCAGUAGGGAAUAUUGGACAGUGGGCGCAAGCCUGAUCCAGCCAUGCCGCGUGAGUGAAGAAGGCCUUCGGGUUGUAAAGCUCUUUUGUCCGGAAAGAAAAGCUUCGGGUUAAUACCCUGGAGUCCUGACGGUACCGGAAGAAUAAGCACCGGCUAACUUCGUGCCAGCAGCCGCGGUAAU